GGCCGCCCCUAGAUUCGGUCGCUGGUCUGCCGGCGGUUGGGAGCUGCUGCUCCGGUGGCUUGCGGGUGAGGAGUCACACGGAAUCACACAAAAAGGGUCCUUCCCCCUGAUGAGUAGCUCCAGCAGCGUUGCCGUGGGGAUCAUUGACUCCGGCCAGCUAUGCAGUACACUUGCACGAGCCCAGCUCUUGCAUGUUCCAAAUUCGUUUGUAAGCGCCGGCGUGCUGGUUCUAUUGCAGUUCAGAAAGAAAAUUUUCUUUCUUCGGAUUUUGCUAGUGCACAGCACUGCAAUUUGCUUGUGCUCACGGUGCGGUGCGGUUGGGCGACCAGUUACUAGUUUUUCUGUUGAUUUUACAGAUUUCGGUGCUGGUGUGCAAGUGUCAUCUUUAGCUACAUUUGCAGGUUUCUGAUUUUGUGCAGCUCGGUUGGUCCCCAAAUACAGUUCUGCUGAUCCUCUCUUGCAGCUCUGGCAGGUGCUAGUGCUGAUUUUGUGUGUAUGUAUGUGUGUGUGGUUGUGUAAAACAAUUGAUGGAUGUAUUGUGCCCCAUGAACAUCAUCAGCGACCAUAGACAGUGGCGCAAAAAACAGAAUGUGUGCGUGCAGUUUGUUUGGCUCGAUCGUGCAGUACUUUGUGUUUUUGUGCGGUUCACUUGUUCUUUAAAAAAAUCAAAAAAUAAUGUUGGUGGGAGGUAACAUUCUUUUGAUGCAAU
rnacentral:rRNA from 1 species